rnacentral:sRNA from 1 species
GUCCAUAUCAAUGUCCAUAUCAAUUUCCCAUGUUCCAUUACAUAUCCCGUGUUCUUUCCUUCUUCCAGCUUUUACAUGCUAGCCUUUUAUACAAUGAUUCCUCUCAUCUCGACUCGUUUGAUGAAUGGGCGUUUAGUUUUUGCAACAACAUAUGCGUUGGGUUAUCUCAUAUCGGGAAACACUUUCUGCCACUUUUAACUUGAACAAAGUUGGAGAAAUAAAGUGAUGGCAGAUAUUGCAAGUUGUUUAUAGUGUGCCUGUAGAAAUGUAAAAACGCUAUGUUUCGUGAAUGCCCAGCCUGUAAAUCGAAAUAAGAUUUCGUAUUUAUUAAGCAUUGGAAGAUCACAAUUGUGACUUUGUGGGUUUCGUAAAGAACAUCAUAUAGAUUUCUUUGACCAAGUGUAAUAAAGCAAAACACACGGACAUAGUAUGGAUAUGGACACAGCAUGGGUAUGGACACAAGCAACACUACCAGUCGUUUGAAACGAUGAAAUGGGCAACAAGUCGAUUUGUUUUUCAUCUAUCAAUCGUUGUAAUUCACAUGCAGCUACAAGACGACACGUUAUAUUUAGGGUGCAAAGCAGGUAGAGAUUUCAUAGGCAUAUUUCGAAGUACCAGCUUUAUGCCAAAACAUGCAUGCAUGCAAGAAACUCCAUAACUUCGUUUGCGCAACUCCUGCUUAUCGUCUUCUUUCUAUACCCAUACUGUUGGAUCAAUGAAUGAACGUAGCAAUAGAUACNAGAUAUAGCGCCACACUUUUGAGCAUAUCC